rnacentral:rRNA from 1 species
UACGUAGGGUGCAAGCGUUGUCCGGAAUUAUUGGGCGUAAAGAGCUCGUAGGCGGUUUGUUGCGUCGGCUGUGAAAUCCCGAGGCUCAACCUCGGGUCUGCAGUCGAUACGAGCAAACUAGAGUGUUGCAGGGGAGACUGGAAUUCCUGGUGUAGCGGUGAAAUGCGCAGAUAUCAGGAGGAACACCGGUGGCGAAGGCGGGUCUCUGGGCAACAACUGACGCUGAGACACGAAAGCGUGGGUAGCAAACAGG